UACGGAGGGUGCAAGCGUUAUCCGGAUUUACUGGGUUUAAAGGGUGCGUAGGUGGGCAGGUAAGUCAGUGGUGAAAUCUCCGAGCUUAACUCGGAAACUGCCAUUGAUACUAUCUGUCUUGAAUUAUCUGGAGGUGAGCGGAAUAUGUCAUGUAGCGGUGAAAUGCUUAGAUAUGACAUAGAACACCAAUUGCGAAGGCACUCUACUGGGCUAUUACUGACACUCAGAGACGAAAGCUAGGGGAGCAAAUGGG
rnacentral:rRNA from 1 species